rnacentral:rRNA from 1 species
AUGCAAGUCGAACGAUGAAGCCCUUCGGGGUGGAUUAGUGGCGAACGGGUGAGUAACACGUGGGCAAUCUGCCCUUCACUCUGGGACAAGCCCUGGAAACGGGGUCUAAUACCGGAUAACACUCUGUCCNGCAUGGGACGGGGUUAAAAGCUCCGGCGGUGAAGGAUGAGCCCGCGGCCUAUCAGCUUGUUGGUGGGGUAAUGGCCUACCAAGGCGACGACGGGUAGCCGGCCUGAGAGGGCGACCGGCCACACUGGGACUGAGACACGGCCCAGACUCCUACGGGAGGCAGCAGUGGGGAAUAUUGCACAAUGGGCGAAAGCCUGAUGCAGCGACGCCGCGUGAGGGAUGACGGCCUUCGGGUUGUAAACCUCUUUCAGCAGGGAAGAAGCGAAAGUGACGGUACCUGCAGAAGAAGCGCCGGCUAACUACGUGCCAGCAGCCGCGGUAAUACGUAGGGCGCAAGCGUUGUCCGGAAUUAUUGGGCGUAAAGAGCUCGUAGGCGGCUUGUCACGUCGGAUGUGAAAGCCCGGGGCUUAACCCCGGGUCUGCAUUCGAUACGGGCUAGCUAGAGUGUGGUAGGGGAGAUCGGAAUUCCUGC